GAGUAGCCUCGUUGCUACGAUCUGCUGAGGCUAAGCCUGGGUUCUAUAGAUUUGUUUGACAACAGUCAAACCACUUCUCUCUCUGUCCACCGGGCAAUGGAGGUGUGUACCAUAGGCACCCACCCCGCACACGCCCAAGUCCCCACUUGCCCUCUGGGCCAGGGCACCCCGUCUACUUGGCUACGCCCUAGUGCUAGGCGCCAAGUGCCAGGCGCCCAGGUGCCAGGCGCCCAGGUGCCAGGCGCCCAAGUACGAGUGCCACUGCGACACUGCGACGAACCUUUCGAGGCCCCCGGGAAAAAGUGGCCCACGCAUCCCCUCUGCACUCUGCACUCUGUGCACUCUGCACUCUGUGCACUUCCCUACUUUCCCUAUUCCCUUAUUCCUUAUUCCCUAUUCCCUAUUCCCCUACUCUCCCACUCCCCUACUCUCCACUCCCCCACUCUCCCACUCGACGCUCUCCCCCGC
rnacentral:misc_RNA from 1 species